UGGAAUGCUGUCCCCGCCGCAGCUGCCCUCCCAGCGGCGGAGGAGCUGCCCGGCCGGAGAAUGAGCCCGGGUUCCUUCGGGUUCUCACGGGGCAAUCAGAGCUCGGAGGUUUUAUUUAAUCACAGAACCCCCGAACCGCCGAGAGCGUCCGAAGGAGGCCACGGGGGUGGGGAAGGGUUUGGAGGGCAGCGCUGAGGGCGCUUGGGUUGUUUAGGAGCGCUGGAGAACCUUUCUGGAGUGUCCAGUUCUGGGCCCCUCGGUUUAGGGAGGAUGUUGAGAUGCUUGAGCGUGUCCAAAGGAGAGCAACGAGGCUGGUGAGGGGCUUGGAACACAAGCCAUAUGAGGAACGACUGAGGGAGCUGGGAUUGUUUAGCCUGGAGAAAAGGAGACUCAGAGGUGACCUUAUCACUCUCUUCAACUUCCUGAAGGGUGGCUGUGGUGAGCUGGGGGUCGGUCUCUUUCUCAGGGCAACAACAGAUAGAACAAGAGGACAGAGUCCCAAACUGCGCCAAGGGAGAUACAGGCUAGACUUAAGGAGGAAGUUUUUCACAGAAAGAGUGGUCAAAUACUGGAAUCAUCUGCCCAGGGAGGUGGUGGACUCACCAUCCCUGGAUGUGUUUAAAAAAAGACUGGAUGUGGCACUUGGUGCCAUGACCUAGUUGAGGUGUUAGAACAUGGGUUGGACUCCAUCUUAAAGGUCCCUUCCAACCAGAAAUUCUGUGAUUCUGUGAUCCAGCGUCCUCCCGAGAGCGGCAGGGCAGGCGCUGCUCCCUGAGGGACAGCACCCGAGGGCAGCGCUGGGUUUGUGCCCAGCACUGUUCCCUCUGGAUGUUCUGUUAUCAUUUUCCAUACUGUGUUUCUAACUCCUGAAGCGAUCUGUGGUGGUUUGUUCAGUGAGUAACCUGUCUCCACUGCCGUUCAGUAUUUCCAGUUACUUACCAAGGGCGCCUAAGAUUUUGGGAGGGAAAAUGGAGACAAUAUCAGGCUUCUGAGUCUGGCAACACAGUUGCACUGAGAAAGUUACAAAAAACCAGAAAACUUACUCCUCAUCAAGUGUAUUUCAAACAAUUCUGUCUUUUAUUCCAGCAUGUUUGCUGCCAUUUUACUGUGCCAUCACUGCCACUGAGGUCAUUGGGUAAUUGUUAUUGCAAAACAUUUGGCUAUUAGAAGGUCUUGCUGCAUUAUGUCAUUUGGGCCUGAAGUGCACUUGUUCAAUCUGCAGAAGCAAUUUUUGUUUUCUAAAAACCUUAAAAUUCUGCAUCUGUCUGAGCCUGGAAUUUACCCAACCGUACCAAUUUCCCAGCCCAAUAUUUUGCACUAAUUAUUUAAUAUCUUCUUUCUGACAUAGGCAAAAAUGGAUUUUCAUUUUUACUUACACUGGGCUGGUGUAUCUCCAGCUCAUACCAAACACGUGAAAUAAAUGAGCUGAGUUUUCUAAAAAUUAUGGCCACUUGCACCACAUGAUGAUGCAAAUGAACAGGCAAGACUGUCUGCAAAGCCAAACACCAGCCUUGAAGCAGAUAGAUCUGGCCCCUCAACCUCAAAAUUUUACAAGCACUAUCUCUGUAUUAAUCAGAAAGUCUUCAUCUCCAGCAUUGCUUCUGACUGUGUUACUGUACAGUUUAUUUCCCUAUGGUUAGCUGAAAAAAUAAAUAAAAUAAAGCUACUACUUCCUUUCCUACUUAUGCUGCUUUCUAUUAACCCAGUCUUUCUAAACGCAUUUACAGACAUGUCUAUUUUCAUAAUGACAGUGAAAGCUCCUUAAAUAUAAGAAGAAAUUAUCUUCACUUUAUUUUUAGAGGAUCUGCCAAGCAUCUUCCUAUGUUUUUUGCUUUAGCAAUGCCUGUAUUUUUUAAAGGAAGGAUUGAUACAAUUCACACGUCUGUAACCUUAUGGAAGAAAAAAAAAAUAACAAGACACUCCUUUUACACCAUAAGAAUCCCACUGAGAAAAGAACUGUGUCCUAUGUUAAAGGAAGGAAUCAAAUAAUUAAUUGCAUCAAAAGGUACUGAGAGAAAUCCCUGUGGGAUGAAAUGCCACAGAGCAAUAUCACAGCGUGACAGCCACUGGGAGAAACUCAGAGGAGAUCAGAGGCUGCAGAGGUGGAAAACACGAGAGCCACGGGAGAUUUCAGCUCCUCCUCAGAGCAAGUCAUGGCAGGGAGGGUAAAGGUUGAAUUGUCAGACCUGUAAAUAAUAACCUGUUAAAGCCAGGAAUCAGGCAACUCACAAGGAGAGAAGCAGCUCUUGGUUAAGCCUGGAAAGUGCAGUAGGCAUGGAUCAAAACUGAUAAUAACAGCCACAGUGUGUUUGUACACACCCAGUUAGGAGCAAAGGAGCCAAGAAAAUCCUUCUCAUUAAAUCCAGGGAGGCUGCAGGAGAUAAAGAAACCUCACCCUGCUGCCAAGGUCCCAGACAGACUGGAAAUGGAGGAGAAAUGUGUGAGCUCAUCCCCAGCACUGCACAUCUUCAAGAAAAUGCUUGCUGUUAUCCUGCCAGUGAUCUUCAGCUUUGCCUACAGGGAAAAUGAAAUAUGAAGAGGAAAGUCCCAGAGGAAGACUUGUCCUGGCUUGGGAAGAUCAGCUUAGGUUUGCUGCCUUAAAAAAAACCCAAAACCCAAACUUCAGGCAGUAGCAACCUGAAGGAAUUGAAAAUGGUUAGAAAGGCAUUUGAAAUAUUCUUUCUUCUGCUAAGGGAACAGCUGAAAAUGUGACUGUGAAAGCGGUGAAGGAAACAGUGCCUUUUGCCAUAUAUAGAAUAACCCAAACCCCCAGAAAGUUGUGGGGGUUUUCCCCCUAUUUUUUACUUGCUUCACAGUUUCACCUAGUUUCAUAUUUUGGCUGAGUUCUAUAACUAAAAUGAGUAAGAAAUGUCUCAGAACAGAAACAUUUCAUCACAGAUGAAGUUUCUAACACACAUACUUCAAUAUUUUUGAUGACAACUGAAAAAAACUCCAUUGCUUUUGACACUGCACAGGGAGUGUUUUUGUUUGGCCAGCCAUGGGAAAAAAAAACAUACUUUAAAUGUGGAAAUGACCAUUUUGUCCUACCACCAUGGUCUCAAGCUUGUUUGAAGAAGUGAGAAAACAUCAAAAACACAGCAGUGAAAAUAUUACACAUGACUAGACUCAGUACAGAUGGGAUAUCUGCCAUCACUGAGGAAAAAAAAGGGUUGUGCUGCUUUGCUAGAGGAAGGAUUUGGAUGAGAAAUUAUUCAGAACUCCCCCGUGUUAGCCACAGUGGGUUUCUGUGCCAAAAAUGCAGGUUUCUUACAUGUUGAAAAUGCCACUGCCUGAGAAAGUGGAGGGAUUUCAGGAGGUUUGUCUUUUUGGAAAUGCAGAAGAACCUGAAUUGAAAUGGACCUACAAUGAUGUGGAUUAAGAAGAUUUCCUGGGAGUUGGACUUAGUCAACCCUGCAUGUCACUUCCAGCAUAAAAUGUUCUAUGAUUCUGUGAUUUUAUGAAAAUGAGAGGGAUGGGGGGAGUUAAACCUCUGUUGUAUUGGUCACCAGUUUUAAAACUAAUAACUGAGAAAGGCACUGCAAGCCAAAGCAAACAGUGAAGGAGGGUUUGGAAGUGGAGUAGAAAAUCAGAUUUACAAACAUCUGAAUGAAAGCUCUAUCCAAAUUUACGGGUAGUCUUUUUGGACUGAAAUAAAAUUCUGGAUAUGAGAUUAAAUUCUAAGAACUGUGGGUUGUUAUCGAGCAGAGCGACACAGCUCUGGAAAUGCCUCUGCUGUGAUGAUUCACAGAUAGGUGAGGUUACCCUUCCGCUUGCUCAAGAUUUAUAUCAACUUCUUAUUAACCACUGUUUUUAGCCCAAAACAGCUGAGUCCAAGAACUUGAAGUUCAAAGACAAUUCUCUGAUAUCCUGUCGUGGUGGCUGUCACGACAUUCUUGGUAUAAUCAGAACUAUUUGGUGUUAGAAACACAUUAAUGGGCACUGAGAUGCUCAUGGACAGUAACAGAUUGCCCAGAGAGGUUGUGCAGUCUCCAUCCUUGGAGGUUUGCGAGGCCAAGUGAAAAAAUCCAGGUGGGAUCUCAUUGUCAGCCUUGUUUCCAAUCUGAACUGUUUGAUGAAUCUGUGAUUAUUUCUAUGGCUUUGUUGCUUGCUGUAUUUCUUCAGAGAGAUGAAAGAGAAGAUUUAGCCUCCAGACUUGCUCUGGAUUUAUUUUCCAAGUGCUCUGACCACUGGGAAAAUGUCAAAAGGAGUUCUCCUCCAUUAGGGAUCCCCAGCUUUUAAAGAGAAAUCCAGCUUCUUUUCCAUGCAGAAUUUUGUGCUGGGACAUGGUCUUGUCUGUCUUUUUGUGUGGAUUUCUUCCCAUGUGGAUCAAGUCCAGUGGCAUUGAUAUUCCAGGUGAAUUUUUGAAGCUAAGACAGAUGUUCAGAAUCUGUUGAAUGAAGAAAGGCUGCUGUAGGGUAGUUGUAGAGGACUUACAUGCCAGCCCUUCCAGAUGUUUCUGCCACAGAGGUGUGUGAUGCCAACAGAGACAGGAACACUGGAGCAUCCUCAUCCCUGACCAGUCAGGUCUAAGGGAUAUGACUCUGGUUUAGGAUUUGGAACUUCCUCAAACCCCAAGCAGCAUUUUCCAGCUGUUUAGAAGUUAGACUUUUCACCUCACAAGAGGACCAUAUAUAUGGAUAUAUGGACACAGGGAUGUUGUCUUAUACAAUUAGAAUAUAAUUAAUCUCAUCAAUUUUUAUCUUUCUAAAAUUGAGAUGCCUAAUAUGUUUUCAAGCAUAGGCUGUGGCCAGGUGGUCAGUCAUCUCUAGAACACAAUCCUUGGAUCAGCACUUUCCUAAUUUACUGAAACAAUUUCCAUAUUCCACUUUAUAUCCUAGGACUUAUUUUUGGUCAUAGUUUUAAUUUUAUGAAAAUACAUAUAUGCUUGCCAUGCAGUUUUUGAUAUCUCUACAAUUCACAAGACACUGCUUAAGUAAGAAACAAAGAGCUGUGUGUUUAUUCUGAGUGUAUAUCUCAUUCAAGACAGAAAAGCUUUUAUAUGUUAUAAAGCAACCUAAUGACUGGAAGUUAAAACAAGAUUAGGAACAAAGGCUGAUUAUUCUGCAUUUUUCUGGGCAGGAUUUCUUGCCUCUUCCUUCAAAAAUAUUAUCCUGAAAAAGACCUGAUACUGAACUGCCCUGAUGGGUAAUGUAGCCUGGUCUGUCAACUCUUAUAUUUCUUAAAAAAACAAAAGCAGUGUAGCCAGAGAUAGAGGACUCUAAAGUCCUUGAUGAUCUGAUCCCACCAUGGAUCAUGGAAGGCAAAUGAUGGAAAUUGAACACUGGGAUUUCAUCUUUUUCAGCCUGACAGUGUUCACCACGUGCCUUGUUUUUCCUUCUGCACUCAUUCUAAUGCCUUAACCAUAAACGAGCAAUGGCCAGGUGUGAGCAUUGUUCAUCCUUUUGUUCCUGAAAAACAAGGAAGACAUAAAAAGAAAACCACCCCAAACCUACUCUUCAGGUAAACAGCAUUAUCUCCACCAUCAGACCAGACCACAUGUACGUAAAAGGAUGUGUUAUCAAAAAUAUCUGUAAUGGUGACCUUAAAAAAGUACAAGCAGUGCUAAUGAAUUUCUUGUUAUUUUAGAAAGGGACUUUCUUCUCCGUUGGUGCAGAGAGCUUCCUGAAGCAAAAACAAAUGAAUCUUUUCUCUCUUUCUUUUUAAAUGUAAGGUAGAAACAUUUUGACUAAAUUUCUGCUCUGUUGUUUUCUAGUUAUUCAGAGUUAGGAGGAGGUGUUAUCAAUGAUCCUUUAGCCCAGAAAAGAGAAGGGUCUUGGGAGAACUUCAGACACCUUUCAGUAUCGAAGCAAUCUCCAAGAGAGAUGGAAAGGGACUUGGUAUGAGGGCAUGGAGUGACAGAACAAGGGGGGAUGGCUUUAACCUGACAGAGGACAGCAUUAGACUGGAUAUCAGGAAGAAAUUCUUUACUGUGUGUGUAGUGAGCUCUGACACAGAUAUUCCAGAGAAGCUGUGGCUGGCCCAUCUCUGGAAAUGUUCAAGGUCAGGUUGGACAGGACUUGGAGCAACCUGGGAUAGUGGAAGGUGUCCCUGCCCAUGGCAGGGGGAUGGAGCAAAGUGAUCUUUAAAGUCUCUUCCAACCCAAAUGAUUCUGUGAUUCUAAGACAGAUUCCUGUCUUGGCUCAAAGACUGCACAUGGCAUCAAGCAGGAGAACACAGAGACAUCUCUGCAGUUAACAUGAAGGUUUUUGUCAAGAAUUUAUUGUAAUCAAGAGUUUAUAGGUGUUGGGCAAGGGGAACAGCAAGGAAGUGACUUGCCCAUCCACAUUUGGAGUUAGUGGAGGAGCCAAAAUUAGAACAAGGUGCUCUUAGCUGUCUCCCCAGAUGGUGAGAGUUAUCAAUUAGUUCAAGAUUUAAGGCAAUUAACAAAAUUACAGAGGACAUGCACCCAGUGGUAGCCAAUUCCAAUACCCUUUUGACCACACUGAUGGACGAAUUAGGGUGGUUUACUGUUGUAGACCUGAAGGAUGCCUUUUUCUGCAUUCCUGUGCACAAAACCUGCCAAGAUAUAACCCAAAAUAUAAAGUGUUAGCAAAUUCUCUUCACAAAAGACAAAACAAUAACUUUCCAGCCUGAGAACAAAGGACUCCGCUGCAGCUUCAGGCCUAAAAAGUGUAAACAACAGUGAAUUGGGGAGAACAAUCUGGGAGGAUGGGACUGCAUAAACUGAAGCUGUAAUUGGACAAUUAACCCCAACAUGUAAAUGGACCAAAACUUAUUAAAGUGUGAAAACCCAUGUCUGGUCAUCCAUCUUGGAUGUAGCCACAACCAGGCUCUUGUACUGCUCAAGGUGUAUCCUUUGAAGGCCUUUUAAAUAAAUGCUUACUUUAUUCCUUUAACUCUGUCUAGCCUCUGUUCCAGGCAGCCUCUCAAGGCAUCAUGGGCUCCUUCUGGUGCUUGUUGCCUUUGGCAGCUGGUCCUUCUCAUGAAGCUCUCCCUCUCUUAGCUCCUCUGGUUUCCCAUGUAGUGGAAUUUCCCAUUUGUUGGUUAUGAUUUCUCAUUUCAAAGCUCCACACUGGAGCUGGAUGUUGUCAGAAUGGAGCAUUCCAAGGGCAGAGCCAGGCUGUGCCACCAUGGGGAGCUCACAGCAAUGCCUGUGACAAUCAGUGAGUGCCAGCAGCUCUGCUCAGACAAUGUCACUUUUUGGGGAGUGUGAGAAGCUGAGGUUUGGCUGUGCAUGGACAUUUGAGAUGCCACAGCAACCAGGAUGCAAACCCAGUUGCAUUAAAUGGGUGAAGUUACUGUCUUUGUACAAAUAUUUAAUUUUUGAAUUUUCUUGAUCCCAUUAAAGAGGGGUGAUACGGAUGUAAUCAUCUUGGUGAAUACUGAACAGCCAAGCAGGUAGAUACUAUAAUUCUAUUAUGAUUUAUUUUUUCAUAUUAUCUUUCAUCUAUUCUUUUAUAGUCUAAGCUGCACAUAUCUGGCAGAGCAUCUGGAGUACUUUCCACUUCUAACUUUAAACGACCUGACAAAAACACUCCAAACUGGGGAAGCUCAGUGUCUGUCUUUUAUUAGUCACAUCACAUAUUCAGGUUUUCCACUUGCUCACUGUGAAAACGGCUAAUGAGAUGUUUUUUGAGUGCUAUGCUUUGUAUCAUGCAGGUGACAGAUACAAUGAAGAUGGUCAUGAGGGCAUCUGAGCGAGGGGCAGUCUGGCUGAUAGGAAGUAAAUCAGCCCUGGAAAUUGUCCUCUCUUUGUUCCUUCAACACAAGUGACAUCAGCCUCUGUGGGGCAUGGGGACAUGUGAGACUCUACCCAAAAUAUUCUCACUUUCAAAGACUUACUUAAUAAUUCCCUAUAUUAAAAGUAAGUCAAACUCAAGAUGAGGGAAUGUUGAUCUCUACAAAUAGAAACUAGGAAUAAAAAAAAUUAGGAGCUGGAACCAUCCACCUGAGGACAGAGCCUAAAAUUAUAAGAUUGUUUAAUGCCUUCUUCAGAGGACUGUAUAGGGUUAUGGUUAUCACCAUGCAGGGAUCAAAAUAGACAGGACUUCAGAAGGGCUGAACUGUGAUAAUCAGAGGUAUCAAUAGAGAAGAGGGCAAGUGUACAUCCAGGAGAGAUAUAAAAGAUCCCUCAUGCUGUUUUUUUAUCUGAUUUCCUGCCUGCAGUGUCACUGUACCCUUUCAAAGCACAAGACCAGCCCAUAGAUGGUGGAAUUCUGCUGGAUAAAGGUGACCUCCAGCAAAAUUUGCACAGUUGGUACAGUUGGUAAAUACAAUCAGAUUCUAAGCUAAUUGCACUCACUGUGUGAGCUCAGCAUUUUGGGGUAAGGACCCCUUUUCAGCACUGAAUGUCCUUAAGUUACAGUGAGCUUUGUCCUGAUCUCUGGGAGAAAGUUUGAGGCCAUUUGCCCCACAUGAAUGAUUCCUCUGCAACCUCCAAAGCCAUCCACCACGUAGUUCCCUCAGUUGGACAGAUGCAGGUGAUGAAAUAAGUUCUGGCUAUAAAAUGUGCACAGUUUCAUUCCUUAGGGUCAGAGGAGAACUUCCUCAGGACAAGAGUACUUGUGUUGAACAGCCUGAUAAAUAGCUGCUGUUUUUUUGGAAGAACAGUUCCAGGGUAUGAAAUAUGAUCUGAUUUAUGGAAAUAACUCCUGUAUUUCAUUAGCAUGUUUUACAGUCAGCUUGAUCCUGUUCUAGGUCACCUUCCUCUUUCCUUUUCCUCUCAGCAGUAGAGAGGCAUUGACCAUCAGAGGCCCUGAACAGAACAGAACAGGUGUUUGGACUCAUGUGGACACCUUGGACCUUUCCAUACUACAGAUUUGCCAGCUGCAGUCCAUUACUUUCACCUUUAAUUGCAUUACCCUUCAAGACUGAAAUUGUCUAGAAUCCAGGCCCAAACCUGCUGUGCUCCAGCAUUUAUAAACUGUGCACAAGAGUCAGAAAGAUGGUGAGGCUGGUGACAGGGUCUGGAUCCAGGAUAACUGACAAAUUUCUGGCUCAUCUGAUUGAAAACAUUAAACCUGGUGGUAAGGAAGUUGUUUUUGCCGAGGUCUCUAAGCACUGGGAGACUGUUAUGGACACCAAAGCAACACAGGGCAAUGUUUGGUGCUAAUUAUAGCAGGCAGAGUUUGUUCCUGGCAAUUGAGUGCCAGCUGGGAGGUUUGGUGGGUAUCCUCAAACCAAAUGUGUCAUCUGCAGCAUUUGGGUGUUCACAGCCAGUGCAGUGAAGCAGCCACUUGACAGUGGAGCUCAUUUCACCCCAAUGCAGGCAUCAGAAAUAGGUCAUCUGAGCUGCUGCUUCUCCUCUCCUUUCACUGUGGCAGCAGACGGGUGACUAACUCAAAAGUCUGUGUCUACACCAACAUCUCAUUAACUGACAAAAUGUGAAAACCACCUUGUUGAUCCAAAAUUCUUUUCUCAUCUUGUCUCAGCAGUUGAGCUCCCUCAGGAGAAAGACACAAUGUACCCUGGAAUCCUCACAGGCCUUUCAAGUUACUCAGAGCUUUGCACCUCGAUCAUCCAUCAUCUCAUGGUCAGGGAAACCUUAGAGCAGCAUUCCAGUAUCUAAAGGAGGCUCACAAGGGGGCUGAAGAGGCAAUUCUCACAAGGUAUGGAGUGAUAGGACAAGGGGAAAUGGCCUUAAGCCAAAGGACAGUUAAGUUGGAUUGAUAUUAGGAAGAACUUCUUUACUGUGAAGGUGGUGAAGCACUGGAACAGGAUUCUUUUGACUCCCCAUCCCUGGAGGUGUUCAAGGCCCAGUUGGACAGGGCUUGGAGCAACCUGGGGUAGUGGAAGGUGGCACUACCCACAACAGGGAGGUGGAAAUGGGAUGAUCUUUAAGGUGCCUUUCAACCCAAACCAUUGUGUGACUCUAUAAUUGCAUAAUUUGAUAAUCCAAAGAUCCCAUCCCCACCCCACCCUUCUCCACUGCACAAAUAGUGCUCGGUCAAUGAAAAUGGUUUUAGGUUAACUGCACCAAAACAGGCCAUGGAGAUCUGACCCAAUGGAAAGGGUACCCACCAGUGAGCUGUUUUUUUAAUAUCUCACCUAUAAUUUUCUGUCUUCGAGUGUCCAGCUCUGCUGAACAUCAGUGCUCCCUCAUUAAUUCAUAAUUAUCCCAUUUUAGUUUGCCUCAUCUACAACUACUUGAAUACUGGUGUCACUGGAGUAUUUGAGGACCACUGAACAUACAUUAGAGAAAUGCCCUACAAAAAAUCCUACAGCAAUCACAGGAAAUCAUGGUUUCAAAAUUCUGUCCCAAAUCAUCAGGUCUGACUUCUGUAACAAAUCUCAGCCUGAGUUACUCUGGCAAUAAUUGGAAGGAUUGUACUUAAUUCUGUAAGAAGAGGAUUUGGGAUUCAUCACAAAGAUGUUGAACAAAGUCCUGAGCCUCACUAGAAGCAAAGAAACAAGGCAUGAACCCUUAUUCUGCACUGAAUGAAAGGGUCAGGUUGAAUAAUUUCUGCUCAAGAAGGAAAAACUCCUAUUAUUUUCUGUUUCUUUAGCCUGGCUAAAGCAAAAUGCAUUCUGAGCUUUCUACACAGCUUUUCAUUUUCUCACUCCGUACUUGUUUCCUGAGUACCACACCAAUUUUUACACUUGAACACCAACUUUUCUUGGAUAGUGGAUAGAUCUAGAAAUUUUCCAAGUUACUCAAGCUGAAGAACUUCUCUAAAUAGUUCCCACUACUAUUUGCAUUUAGAACUUCUAAUUUUUUGCAUUUCUAUAAGUAAUCUUCAAAAUCCAUCCAGCUCAGAAGGUUUUUUUUCACUCCCAGGGUAAGGCACUACAUUAGGGUCUAGGACCUGAAAUGAAACUGUUUGCUUUUAAUUUCUGUGGCAGGGAAUUUAGCCCCAGUUCUUGGAACAUCUACAUCAGCUUCCUAUGAAGUGGUAAAUUCACAGCUGACUCAACAAAAUUCAUGAAGAUAAGAUUAACUGUGCUUUUACUGAACUAAAGGAAGGCACUGAGCUCUGCCUUUCUAAACAGAAGCAUCUACCCAGCCCAUGAAGGUAAAGAAGAUGCAGAAAGGUGCCUUCUGACAUGCAGCAGAAAGAUUUCCAAUGGUGAUCUUCAACCAUGGGAAGUUCACUUGGCAAUUUAAGGGCCAAAGGUGGAAUGGCAAUAGUGGGAUGUGCCAAACUGAGCAUUGAAACUUGCUCACAUUUUUAGAUGCCUCUGAUAAAGGGGAUGUGCCCUAUUUAAAUAGUCCCUAGACUCCAGUGCUGGAAGGAGAUUUGAGGGUUCAUCUAGUCCAUGCCUAGAUGAUCUUCAUCACUACCACUGCUAAGGCUCUUACCUUGUCCCCUUCUCCAUCAUCAUUCCUCAGACAUCUUCAAGUUAUUUGGUUCUUUCUUUUGGAAAAGGUUUUCUAGACCCUUUUCUCAUUCCCACUGCUGCUCCACGCUUUUCUCAGUGUGCAGUGCCCACAAGUAGGGGCAGCAUCCUCCAUGGCUUCACUGUCACAACACAAAACAAGGGAUUUCUUUGCAUGUGCUGCACAGUUCAGGGUUAGAUUUAAGUUUUUAAUGUAUGGCAUUGCCAGCUGGUCUUCAUCAUCAGGGAACUGCUGGAAAUACUGAAUAACCAAAGACUCACCUUUCAGUGCAUCCUUCUCUUCUGGCAGUUAAUCAGUGCCUCUCAAUAUGACCUUCCAUUUGACACAGUUUUGAACCAUUUUAAGGGCACUUUUCAGGGAUUUUCCAAUAAAUUUCAUACUGACUUCAUAAUUCAUCUAGAUUAUAUUUCCAUAACUUUACAGAUAGUAUAAAAAUUAUUACUGAAAUCAAGCAAAGAAAUGGUAUUUUGGGUAAGAAGCUUACUGCAGGGUUAAAUAGACUUGAUUUACUAUAACUUCCUGGUAAUAAAAGAAGAGGAGGAGCAAAUAUGACCAUGCAAUAAUACACUUCAUUUUCCAGUUUCUUUUUUUUUUUCCCUCAGGCCAAGGGAAUGGUGAUUGCAAAUAAGAAUAGGAAGGAAUUUAUCUGUACUACUCAGCUGUAUUUGCAUGGGGAAGUAUUAAGGAACCCAGUCUAGGCACUGGUGUGUUAAGAACUCACUACAUGGAAACUAAAGAGUUUUUCAUAUUCCUCACAUAUUUAUCUCACAACUCAGCAUCAAAGAAAGGAACAGUUAAUAUUAGCCAUGAUGACCCAUAUCCAGGAUGUUUGGCAGAAAAGACUGUUCUCAGUCACUAAACAAUCAAUUUAAAUUCUGUUUUCAAAGUCAGUAUGGAUUUUCAGGAUGGAUUUGUCUCAUCCAGCUGAGGCUACCUAGAAGACCUGUUGUGCUGGUUUAACAGUUGCAUGCAGAUGGAAGGGAGAGAAGGAGAGAAGAUAACAGUGACUCAUCUGGUGGAUGUAGAUGUUCAGAAGACGAGCUGUUCAUCCUUCAGGAGCUCAGCUGUGAUUCAGAGAAACUGCACACAUGCUUCCAUCCAACCCAAAUGCAGUAUGGCUUUAUCACCACUAACAGAAGACCUCUGAAACCCAAAAGGAUAAGCCAUGGAACCUUUUCUUUGCUGGUAGAGCCCACAGAGGUUGUCUGAGAUCCAUUGUCACACACCACACAUCUAUUCCACAGCCCUGGUUCCCUCUCUAAUACCUCUUCAGCCACAGAUUUGGGGCUGAGUGCCUGAACAAACCUAUUGAAGUCUUCCUGCUUCUACUGACCUCAGCUGUAGUGAAAUGUGAAAGAGCUCUGGAGCCAGGAGCUCUGAUGUGUCAAACCACUUCCUAUACACAAUGGCACGCUCUGCCACAGCGAGCAUUGAGUUUGGUUUCCUGGAUAACAGACUAAUACUUGAACAGAAAGCAGCCUUUGUUCUUUCCCGUGGAGCCAGCAAAACAAUGAUUUGCUGACCAAAGCCCUCGCUGCACACGUGGGGGAUGCUCCCAGACAGCUUCAUCAGGCAGUAAUCAGCUCCUUGGCUUAGCUGGCAACAGCUCAUCACUUCUGAGAAACUUCACCAUCCUCAGAGGUGUGGAGAAAAGAUGGGGACAAGUCCCAUGGAGACCAAGUGGCUUUUGAUGUGGCUCUUGCUUGGAUUUGUCAAGGGGAACGGGCCAGGAGCAUGCCCACGUCUUCCACCGAGUGAAUUUGCUGAUGUUACUGCCGACAUGUAUCCAGUACAGACCAGACUGUACUAUGUGUGUGACCCUGGCUAUGACAGAGAAGCUGGUGUAUACCUAGGAAUUCAGUGUAAGAGUGGACAGCAGGGUGCUGUUUGGGAAUUCCAACAUUUUAAAUGCAUUGAAAUUAAAAAUUCAUCAGCAAUGGCUUCCAAGACAGAGUUAGAACUUACACAGAAGCCAGAAAUAGAACCAACGAGCCCUGCACCCCAGAAGCAAGAAGACCUUUCAGAGUCCAAACAAAAAGAUUUCUGUGGUCCUCCCAAGACUGUUCCACAUGCCUCCAUAAAGCUGCCCCAAACGCAUUACGUGGGACAAGUCUUACAUUUCAAAUGCCAGGCGGGUUAUGAUAAGAGACCCCCCACCUCUGGCAGCAGGACGUGCAAGGAGGUGGAUGGCAGAACCUUCUGGACCCCCCUUGAUAUGAGAUGCACCAAUGACACCAACCAGUGGCCACCACAGACCAUUGGGCCAGGUUUGAGUCUUCUGUCCUCUUUCCCUUCCUCAUCAGGGACACUGCCAGUGACAGCUAUCUGGUUUGUUCUGCUUAUCAUUCCCACUGCCUUUGUGUGACUCACCAAGCAGCCGAUAAGGGAAGACUUCUCAGGGAAUUGUGGCAUUCAGAUGCAAACUUGUGAAAUUAAUGAUUUGCCACCAGAAGAAACCAGAUUGCACCAGUGACCCCAAGACUAGCAAUGGCAAACGAGGAGGAAGCCUGGACACCCAAAUCCAAUGUGUGAAGGUGGCAGAAGAUGUUACAGCUCAACUCUUAUGGGGACAGCAUGACUUUCCACCUACAGAGUGUUGGUAGGAGGACUGCACCCCAUCACUCACUGCUGGGGAAAGAGCCCUGCCUGAAGCUGCUUCCCAAACCCACUUCUCCUCCUCCUACGACACAGCAGAUGUAUUUCUAAUAUAACUGCAGCCCCUCCCAAGCCACCAGGAGUACAUAUGGACAAUUCUCCCAAGCACAUUGAAUGGUGCCACUGUCAUUUCAGCCCACACACCAUCCUCCCCACAAACAGAGCAGCUUUGCUGGACACCUGAUGUCCCCCUGCCUCUUCCCCACCCAGGUGGGGCAAGCGCAGGCACACUUUUCUCCUCAAAUUGUUCCCCUUGGAAAUUAAACCCCUUCACCCCCUGCACUGCAGCUGAAAAUCUGACUGGAUUCCCUUAUGGUUUGCUAUAUACAUGCAUUCCUCAUCACUCCCCUCUUCCCAGUUAUUUUGGAUUUGUGCCUUCCAUGACAGUUCCUCCAUCAUUCCUCCAGCUCAGACAAGGAUGAUGCAGAUCGUGGUGGCCAAUUAAUUUGACAGCUCCUUUUGUAGCUGCAGAGAGUGAGAGAGCCCAGCACAAAGGCAUCUGAGGACAGGCUCAAGCACACAUAAUACUUGACAUGUUCUUGUACUAUUGGGAAUUUGGAUAUUCUUCUGCCUCUUUUUAGCCACGCUCAUCUGGGACAGCACGAGACAAAGGGUUCAUUUAAUGCAAUCUGAACCCUUGGUGUUAUUGGAAAAGGACCAAGAAAGCUGCAUGAUCCAACACUUUGCUGUGAAGAGGCUUGAGGUUGCAGUGUGUCUUCACAGCUCCCAGCAAAAAUAAUUUUUCCUUAGUGGCUAAAAUCCCUGUGACACACUGGAGCCCAGAGCUCUCCCCAAAGAUGGACAGACACAGAGCAAACUGCAAAGUUACCCGGCCAUGUCAAUGCAGCUGCAUCUUCCAAGGGAACACAGGUGCUUGCCACCCCAGCGUGGGCAUGGAGCAGCUCUGGCCUCAGCAAAGGGCUCCAUCCCUAUUCCCUGUUCACAGCAGGCUCAGCAGAAAGCAGAGGCCAUCCCAGCUGAAAGGUGCCUGGCAGCAGGCUUGUGGAGCUGGGGCAGCCCUCUGCUCAGCUCCAAGCUGGGUUCCUGUGAGAAGCAACUCUAAGACCUGUGGGAAGACACCAGCCAGGCUGAUCCUUUGUUUUGUGUUUUCCAGCUAUUUCACCUCCUGCUGUGGAAGGCAGGGCAUUUCUGCCAAGGUGGCAGAGGACUCUCUAAUGCGUCUGCUAUAGUCUGAGAAUGGCUAUGUUUAUAGGAUCUCCAGGAAGGAAGAUGUGUGGGAUUUCCCAUACAGGGUUGAGAUGGAGUUUGUCCAGGAGAUCUGCCAGCACUUGUAUUUCUCCAGAGAAAUUUUGCACUGUCUGGGGAGAGGUUUUGGUAUUCACAAUGCUCUCACUCCCCUCUAAUUAAAAUAUUUGAUGUUAGUUCUCAAGGUGACUAGGCUUGAGUUUUUUCUUAAGAAAUAAACUAAGCAAAUGCAGGGAAAUGUAAACCCUGUUGUGAUUGCAGUACUGGGGAAAGGGAAUUCUGAAUUGACUCAGAUGAUUCCUUUCUCUGUUGGGCUUUACAAGCUUGCUGUGCAGGGCAGGGCAUUUCUAGGUACUGCCAUGAGUAAAGGCCCUGGGAAGAGCCUGGGAAGUUCAUAAAGCAGGGACUGAUGGACAUGAUCAAUCAGCCAGUGGUUCCAGAGCCUGGAAAUUGAGGGCAGUGGGCAUGGUAUGAGUAAUGGUGAGGAUGAGUGUGGUCUCAAGCCCCAGCCAAUGGGCAGAGGUGGGUGAGCAAGUCAGAGGGAGCCAUACCCUGAGGUACAGCAGAG